UGGAACCAAAUGUCACAGUUGAAAAUAAAGUUACCUUUUAUUGUAACGCUGGAUACAAGCUUUUGGGUCGAGAUUAUCGGCAAUGUACAGCUGAGGGAUGGGAUGGUGAUGUUCCCUCCUGUGAAUCACAAAGUGCACUUGUAGGAAUGGCUACUGGAAUUAACAUGGGUGUUGUUGCUGUCGUUGGCUUCCUUUUUUGUGCCGCAUGCCUUUAUCAAAAACGAUCAUUAUCAAACAAAGGGGAAUAUCAUCUUGCCAGCAGUAUUCCCAUGAGCUCUGAUGACAACCAAAUGGGC